UACGUAGGGUGCGAGCGUUAAUCGGAAUUACUGGGCGUAAAGCGUGCGCAGGCGGUUUUGUAAGUCUGUCGUGAAAUCCCCGGGCUCAACCUGGGAAUUGCGAUGGAGACUGCAAGGCUAGAAUCUGGCAGAGGGGGGUAGAAUUCCACGUGUAGCAGUGAAAUGCCGUAGAGAUGUGGAGGAACACCGAUGGCGAAGGCAGCCCCCUGGGUCAAGAUUGACGCUCAUGCACGAAAGCGUGGGAGCAAACAGG
rnacentral:rRNA from 1 species